AGGUUUCAAAACUCGGGAUGUGAAUUUUGGGUUCAAAAUUUUUUUAAAAUUGUAUGUAAAAUAAAAUUUCUUUCUAUUUAAAAAUUUGAAAAGUAAGUUUACAGAAUACCGAGUCUUCGGUGUUGAUCUUAUAUGUACUUCUAACUUAGUUAAACUUUUAGUUUAGAAAAAAAACUCUGUUAUGAUUAAAACUACUCUGCAAUAGUUAAAGACUGUAACUUCAUAGAUUUUUCUGAUAACUUUUGAGUG
rnacentral:lncRNA from 1 species